rnacentral:rRNA from 1 species
AGGACGAACGCUGGCGGCGUGCUUAACACAUGCAAGUCGAACGGUGACCCAGGGCUUGCCCUGGUGAUCAGUGGCGAACGGGUGAGUAACACGUGGGCAACCUGCCCCUGACUUCGGGAUAACUCCUCGAAAGAGGAGCUAAUACCGGAUACGACCACUUCGGACAUCCGAUGGUGGUGGAAAGUUUUUCGGUCAGGGAUGGGCCCGCGGCCUAUCAGCUAGUUGGUGGGGUAAUGGGCCUACCAAGGCGACGACGGGUAGCCGGCCUGAGAGGGCGACCGGCCACACUGGGACUGAGACACGGCCCAGACUCCUACGGGAGGCAGCAGUGGGGAAUAUUGCGCAAUGGGCGAAAGCCUGACGCAGCGACGCCGCGUGAGGGAUGAAGGCCUUCGGGUUGUAAACCUCUUUCAGCAGGGACGAAGCGAAAGUGACGGUACCUGCAGAAGAAGCACCGGCUAACUACGUG